rnacentral:tRNA from 1 species
GGGGAUAUAGAUCAGUGGUAGAUCGUUUCAUUUGCAUACACGAUUAUGUGUUGAAAAGGUCUGGGGUUCAAUCCCCCAUGUCUCCA